UUUGUUUUUUAAUUAAAAACUAGAAUGAAAGGUUAUACAUUCAAAUUUCUUUAUUAAUUUUUUAUAAAAUAAUUUAUAUUAAAUAUAAAAAUAUAUUUUUAAAUAAAAAAGACGACAAGACCCUAUUAAAUUUAACUUAUAGUUUAGCUGGGGAAGCUUUUUAAAUAAAAUUUUAUUAAAAUAUUUUAAAAUAAUUUUUUAAUUAAAAUUAAAACAAAUUACUAUAGGGAUAACAGCGUUAUAUUUUUUAAAAGUUCCUAUUUAAAAAAAUGAUUGCGACCUCGAUGUUGAAUUAUAUUUUCUAUAUUAAUGCAAUAAUUAUAAAAGUAGAUCUGUUCGAUCUUUAAAAUAUUACAUGAUUUGAGUUCAAACCGGUGUAAACCAGGUUGGUUUCUAUCUUUUUAUAUCUAUAUAUUUUUCAAGUACGAAAGGAAAAAAAAAUUUUUAUUUUAAUUAUUUAGCAAAUUAAAAUGCAUUAGAUUUAGAAUCUAAAUAAACUAAUAUUUUUUUUAUUAAUUCUAUUUUAUCAAUUAUUAUACUUUUAAUUUCAGUAGCAUUUUAUACAAUUUUAGAACGAAAAAUUUUAAGAUAUAUUCAAAUUCGAAAAGGUCCAAACAAAGUAGGUUUUAUAGGAAUUUUACAACCAUUUAGUGAUGCUAUUAAAUUAUUUAAUAAAAAUUUAAUUUCACUUGAAAGAAUAAAUUUUAUAUUAUCAUAUUCAACUCCAGCAUUAUCUUUAAUUUUAAUAAUAAUAAUUGCAUCUAUAUUACCUAUAUAUUUUUAUUCUACAUUUGAUAAUAAAAAUAAUAUUUUAAUAUUUUUUAUUAUUUCAAGAUUAUCUGUAUA
rnacentral:rRNA from 1 species